AAAACUUUCAACAACGGAUCUCUUGGCUCUGGCAUCGAUGAAGAACGCAGCGAAAUGCGAUAAGUAAUGUGAAUUGCAGAAUUCAGUGAAUCAUCGAAUCUUUGAACGCACAUUGCGCCCGCCAGUAUUCUGGCGGGCAUGCCUGUUCGAGCGUCAUUACAACCCUCAGGCCCCCGGGCCUGGCGUUGGGGAUCGGCGGAAGCCCCCUGCGGGCACAACGCCGUCCCCCAAAUACAGUGGCGGUCCCGCCGCAGCUUCCAUUGCGUAGUAGCUAACACCUCGCAACUGGAGAGCGGCGCGGCCACGCCGUAAAACACCCAACUUCUGAAUGUUGACCUCGAAUCAGGUAGGAAUACCCGCUGAACUUAAGCAUAUCAAUAAGCGGAGGAAAAGAAACCAACAGGGAUUGCCCCAGUAACGGCGAGUGAAGCGGCAACAGCUCAAAUUUGAAAUCUGGCUCUCGGGCCCGAGUUGUAAUUUGUAGAGGAUGCUUUUGGUGAGGUGCCUUCCGAGCUCCCUGGAACGGGACGCCAUAGAGGGUGAGAGCCCCGUCUGGUUGGACACCGAUCCUCUGUAAAGCUCCUUCGACGAGUCGAGUAGUUUGGGAAUGCUGCUCUAAAUGGGAGGUAUAUGUCUUCUAAAGCUAAAUACCGGCCAGAGACCGAUAGCGCACAAGUAGAGUGAUCGAAAGAUGAAAAGAACUUUGAAAAGAGAGUUAAAAAGUACGUGAAAUUGUUGAAAGGGAAGCGCUUGUGACCAGACUUGGGCUUGGUUGAUCAUCCGGGGUUCUCCCCGGUGCACUCUUCCGGCUCAGGCCAGCAUCAGUUCGCCCUGGGGGAUAAAGGCUUCGGGAAUGUGGCUCUCUCCGGGGAGUGUUAUAGCCCGCUGCGUAAUACCCUGUGGCGGACUGAGGUUCGCGCAUUCGCAAGGAUGCUGGCGUAAUGGUCAUCAGUGACCCGUCUUGAAACACGGACC
rnacentral:rRNA from 1 species